AAAUAUUUCCACAAAAUUCACCUCCUGAACAUGUACUAAAGGACAAUAUUUAUUUAUUGAACAUACAUAUAGAAAUCCAGAUCUAUACCUUUUAAUGGUUUCAGACACUUGCACUAGCACAGUGUCACAACAAACAACCAAGAAAAGCCAUAUGGUGUUCGAUAUUUAUUCAACAGGAGGAUUCAACAGUCAUAGAACUCUAUGGAAACACAAACCCACCAGUCCACAUACCGUAGUAUAAUCACGCCAUCUUCGGCGACAGCCUAAACCAAAGCCCAAAUAGUAUGAACCAUGAGCUCCGAUAAUUUAAGAUGCAAAAACAAAGAAACCCACACAGAUAAAAGCUGGAAAAGACAUGUAGAUUUGCUAAAUCUAGCAAAUAAUCGGACCAAGAUGCUUCAAUUCCCCGAGAGAAGAUGAGAGAGUGAUGCGGAAUAGAAAAGCAGCCUUUCACUUCACCCAUAAUAGAAUAAUAUUAAUGGGAAUGAAAGGUAGGGUUUCUUCCUCUUCAGUGAGCCCAUCUUCUCUUUCUCCUCCUCUUUGUGGUGCUGGGAAGUAUGGUGAGGUGGUUGGUGGUGUGGAGAUGAUGAAAGUGAGGGAUUAAUAAUGAGGGGAAGAGGGGAGAGAACAUGAUGAUUGCUGCAGUGUGUUUUGCGUUGAAUGGAGGGAUAUAAAUCCAAAGCAUAGCGUGCUUCCUCUGAGGGGUUUGUUGGGUUCUUAUUCACAUGGAGAGAUAAUCAUACCAUGAAACCCCAUGACACCAUCCUUUUUCUGGUUCCUACCCCAAAAGAAACUCUUCAUUAUAUCCCCUACUUAUAAAGACACCCUCUACUUGACCUUUUGUGUGUGUGUGUCAAUAUGUCUCAUUAAAAAAAAAAAAAAAACCCAAAAUUUUCCUUUAUUUUGAAUCACAGGUCUAAAAUAUUUUUAACUCAUUUUUCCUUGUGCAUAUGACUGACUCACUGACUGAAGUCUGAAUAUAUAUGGAUACUGUUGAAGGUCGUUACUGCUGUAAACACUGUUGAUAUCAAUGAAAAGCACGAUCCGGAGUUGGGAGUCCUGUGGACCCGUGAGAGACUGUAGUCUGUAUGAGUAUAAGACAGAGGAAUCGGAUUCUUUAGGAGAAUAAGCAAAACGGGAACUGCCAUUAAGCUGCGCCAUAAACAAUCAAUUUUGAGGGUAUGUUUAGAUGAGAAAGCUUCCCCAUUUUUCACAACAUGUUCGUUUCAGAAUAAUAUGCGACUGGAAAAGGAACCAUCCUCAGACCUUCUCUUCUGCCUGUGCAUAUAACGCCAAGGGAUCCUAUUUUUCAUUUUCACCCCGUGUCUUUUCAGUUUUCACACUCCGUGGACCCAAUAAGCUUAGGGAGUUUUCCAUUAAAUAUUGAUGAUUAUGGAGAUGAUGAUAACGAAGAUUAUGGCACUGGGAAUGGUGACAGAGUCAAUGAUGAUCAUGUGGAUUACAGCAAUGAUGACUUCUCAAAUUCAUCCUCAAAACUCCAGCUAAUAAAUGGGGUCGCAGCUAGGGAUUGUUUGGGAAACAAGUGAGAUGCCUAUUUUUUAAGCUAUAUAUUUGAUUAAAAGGGUGAAAUAAUAACCUUUCACCUAUUUUAGUUAAAAAAAAUUGAUCAAGUUUUAACCAAAAAAGAAAAAAUACUCUUCAUUUUUCAUCUAAAAAAACAUUUUUUAAAGUGGGUUUUAAUUCAUUAAAUAUGAAAAAAGAAACCCUAAAUUUUUUAAAUAAUUUGAAAUACAUUUAUUUUUUAGUGAAUCAUUUAAUUAUUUCCCAAAAUACUCAUUUGAAUUAUCAUGUCAUUAAUAUCAAUUAAUAAUUAGACUUUUCCACGUAAAUAUUUCCCUUCCUUUUAGAUAUUUAUUCACCCCGUAAUUUUUUUUUUCUUCUCUCCAUCAACAAACAUUCCAUAGGAAAAAUGAGAUAGGACAUUGCUUUAAUGAAAUUAUUUUUAAAGAGACCUUGGAAAAAACCAUAUACCUUAUUUCCUACAAAACUCAAACUCAUCCACAGUCCAUUAGGGUUUUAUUACUUUUAAUGUUCACGCUUUUCAAACUUCCUCAUUUUUACUAUGGGGUGUUUGUUUAUGGAGAAAAAAAAAUCUUAAAUUUUCUAAUGAGAUGUUCGUUCUAAAUGGAAAAAAAAUCCCAAAUAAUAAUAAUAAUAAAUAUCUAAAAUAAAAGAAAAUAUCUACUAGAGAGUUUAGUUGUCAAAUGAUGUUAAUGACAUAACAAGUUAAAUGGGCAUUUUAAUAAAUAAUUGGAUGACUCAUUAAAAAAUGUAUGUAUUUUAAAUAGAUAAAGAUAAUAUUGAUUUAAAAUAUUUGAGGUUUUUUUUCUAUAUAUUUUCAUAUUAGUGAAUCAAAACCUACUAUUUAAAAAAAAAAAAAAAAUCUUACAUAAAAAUAAUGUAAAUAUAUAAAUACGCUUAUGUAAAAAAUAAAUUAAUUUUUAAGUUCAAACGUAAGAGAAGUUAUUUUUACAAAUUUAAGGGUCUAUUUAGUUAUGUUUUUUUAAAUUUGUUUUUUAACAUUGGUUUUUAUUCUUUAAUAAAAAUAGUUUUUAAAAACAAAUUUUAAGAAAUAUAACCAAAUGGACCCAUGUUUCCUUCUAUUUUUAAAAAUAAAUGAAAACAAUUUUUUCUUAUUUUUUAAAAAUUAUUCUUUAUUUCACUUUAUUUUUAAAAAUUAUUUCUACAAAACAACGAUAAAACAGUAUUAAAAAUUUGUAAAAAUAGUUUUUUAUUUUUAAAAGUAAAAAACCAUUUUAAAAUCAUACAACCAAUUAGAGUCUUUGACUAUUCCUCCUAAUAAAAAGAAUUGAAGAUUGAUCUCAAAAGAAACAUAAAGACCGAGAAUAUUUUGAAUAAAUGUUUUUGAGUUUUUGAAAAUAAUUUUUUAAACUUAUUUUUUGAAAACAAUUAAGAACCAAACGAAUUUUCAAAGGUAGCCAUAAAUUUUGAAAAUUUACUUUUACAACUAAUAUACCAAAACAAUCAUUGUGUUUAAUUUUCAUUUUUCAAAAUGAAAAAUUCUUAAUAAUAACAAUAAUAAUUUUUUAUUAUUAUUAUUUUGACUGUGGGUAAAACUCUUUCAUACCGAUACUACGCAUAUUUGAAAAAGCACUGACUUCUAUUAAAAUCUGGGAUCACUUAAAAAACAAUGAUAGUGUGUCGGCUCCAUCUAGCUAGUACGUAUUCAAAUCAUGAUGAUAAUAGGUGCACCGUAGCAAAUUUUGGCAUAAAGUAAAAAUGGUUUUUCUAGUAAACUGAAGUUGCUUCGAAGUAAAGGUCGUGAGAAUUGGUGCAUCAGGAAAGCACUUUUUCAUAUGCUCCAUGAUUAAAAUUCACAACCAGCUCUCUCAGAGGAGAUUAAAGGGCAGGGAAAAGAAAUUAAAGUCACCCCUUCAAUCCUCUCUUAGUGACUUUAGGUUUGACCCUAGUAAAGUUUCCACUUCCAAUGGAUCACUUUUCUACUUUUCUUUCUUUCUAAUCAACUUCUCUUUUAGGAUUCAGGCUGGUCUAGAGGCCAAUUACAACACACAUCCGCAUAAUCUCAAUGUCUCGGAGGAGUGCUUCUGUCUUUUCAUUGACAAAUUAAACAGUGCCAUGGAUCUCUGGCUUUAAAUAAGAACAAAAACAAAUAGCAAUCUUCUUUACAGUUAGUGGAGACAGUGCCCCAUGGCGCCUUUUGGUAAUGCCCACCAAAAAGGUGGAGGGCAAGGAAAGCUGAUGGGGAAGUCGAGUGUGUGUGGAUAUUGGGUGAAUAUUCAGACUAUGUCUUGUGGGGCAAAAUACCCAUUCUUACGCUCGUCUCACGUGAGGCUGUCCUCCCAACUUACUUCCUCAUUUCGGAUAAUUUUUAAUAUUAUUUUUAAAGGCAUCAAAGUGAUUCAAUUUUUUAUUCAACCAUGAAGAAAAAAAUACAGAGCCGUAAGAAAAUAUUGCACUAAUUUUCAUAUUAUUUGAACUUGGGGUUAGUCCACAUGAUAUGAACUUAAAAGUCAAAGGAUAACUUUUAACAUAGGACUUUUACAAAAAUGUAUUGAUAUUUGACACACAUUAAAAUGAUUUAAGUUUUAGUAAGAGAAGAACGUGAUUUGAAAUUUUUGCGGGUGGCCCGACACGUGGUAAAACCCAUAUGAAGAGCGUGUCUAGCGUGACGCAUGAGAAGCAAUUUCCUCUAAAUUGCACAAAUCAUAUUUAUAUUUUAAAUUGAGUGUCGAAAUACAACUUUGAACAUUUGAAUGAUUUGGAUUCAAAAGUCAGUCGUCCAGAUGAUAGACUUUUAGAAUUCAUCAAAGUAUUUAUAUAAAAGGCAUAUAUAAAACAUAUAUUUUAGUGAAUUUAAUGGAUAGGAAAUUCUUCAUCACUAAAAAAUGUUUAUUUUUUAAAAUUUUACAAUAUUAGAAAUGGUAAUAUAAUUUUCAUUUUAAAAAAAAACCUGUAACAAGAGCUUAUGAAAGGAUCUUAGAAAGGUUGUACUCAUUUUUUUUAACUUAAUGUCUAUUGUGUAGUGUUCUACCUUUGCAUGAAAAGUGAGUAAUAAAAAUUCAUAUAUGGAAGGCUUACACAACAAUGCUAUUCAAAUUUUUUUUUGAGGGCAUAGACUUGAUAAACAAGCAAAAUUUGAAGCGAUUGGUGGGUUACCUAGGUACCUCUAUGGCCUUGAAUCAUACAAUAUUAAGUGGAGCGUGGAGUUGUUGUAAAAUAAUAUUAAAGUCUAAUAUUAAGGCAGAGAUGUGCUUGUUGAGCCUAAGAAAAUGGAUAACAAUACUCGAAGAGUGAGUGGUGAAGAGUUAUAUAUGAAAGGUUUGUACAAUAACAUUAUCAAAGUUUUUUUUCAAAAAUAAAGGUCUAAUAAAGAAAUAAAAUUGGGUAUCAAUAAUAUCGAGUGAAGAGUGGGAUUGUGAUAGAAUGUAAGGGGGAUGGAUUGUAAUGUCCCACGCCACCCCGAAAGUAAAUGGUGAAGAAUCAUAUAUAGAGGACUUAUAUAACAAUAUUAUUAAAACUUUUUCUUUAAAGGUAAAGGUCUAAUAAAGAAGCAUAAUCGAAACCCAAAUCUAAUAAUAUUGGGUGGAGAGUGGAUUGUUUUUUUUUUUUUUUUUUUUUUUUUUUCUAUUUAUUGCUUAUUUUUAACUUUUUUUUAUUAAAUAAUAAAUAAAAUAAUAAUAAUAAAAAACAUGAUAUUUAAUACUAUUCAAAUGUUAGGUUGCCUUUCUUUGAUUUAAAAUCAAUAAUCAUUCUCCACCAUGAACUUUGGUAAACCUCCAUAAGUGACAAACAAAUAAUCAUUAAAAAUAUGAAACUGAGAAUUCAUCACCCAUAGGAUUCUUUUCUCACGCAAGCAAUAUUAUGGUGGAGUGAUUAAUAAUAAACACUAGCUUUUAAAUAGUAUACAAAGCACAAUAAUUAACGUAUUUUUUAAUAACAAAUAAAGUAAUUCAAUUUUCAUGUGGAGACAAAUACAUAGCCAUAAUCCGAAUAAGCAUAUUUUCUAGUAAUAAUGGGCUUUUUAUUUAAUGCAUGUUUUUAGGAUUUAGUAUCCAACUAAACCUUAACCUCUCAUCUAAUUUUGACAUUGUAAUGAUUAUAGUUACGUAUUUUGGUAUAAGAUUAAGUCACAAUCUUAGGUACAUGGCAUGGAUUGUAUAUCUUUUGCCUGCCCAAAAAUGAUGCACCAUGUUGCCCAUGGAGGAAUCGUAUACGACUAAAUUUUUCUGCCUUUCUUUCAGACUCGAAAUUUAAAUAAAUUUUAUGGCAAAAUCAGCCAAAACUGAUGGUGCAGACCUCAAAAAUAGUCACUCUCAGUAGACUUUUUCUAAACUAGGCCAAACAUUUCUAAAAACGUACCUACUAAUUUAGAAUUGGGCCCAUCUAACAACCUAGACAGAAAUUUAUGGUCCGCAACAUUAAUCUUGUCAAAUCACCGUUUGGUUGACUGCCGACCUUUUUACCUUCCUCAAAAAUUUUUAUCCCGAGUUCCAGGAAAUGUUAUUAACAUAUAUGGCCCCCAAAAGCGGAAGCUUCUAAGUAAGCCUCCACAAGGUAAUGCCAAAAUCAAGGCUUUUUGUUGUAGGGGAUAACAUAGAUUUAAAGCUAUAUUACUUUUUGAUAAAUGUAACUUAUGUAUUAAAAAAUGUGCCCUCUUGUUUUUUUAUGCCACAUCAAAAUCCACAGGCCUCAUCUUUUGCAAAACCGGAAGCUUCCCGAGGAUGCCUCCUCCGCUAGGUAUGUCAAAUCGAGGUUCAUUUCGAAGGGGAUGGGAUAAAUUAAAAUUUUAAUUUAACUUUUCUAAAUUCUUGCAUGAAUGUUGGAUAUUUACGAAAAAAAAAAAUGUGCAGUGUAGAAUUUUUAUGCCAAAUCAGAUCUCUGGUCCCCCUUGUUUUAAAAAAUGGAAGCUUCCAAGGAAGCCUCCCCAAGGUCAUGCCAAAUCCAUACAGGUUGUACAAGAUGGAAUAGUGUAGAUGGAUGUUACAUGGGUACAAAUAUGUAUAUCUACUGUAUUGUUUUUUAUGCCACGUCAAAUCAAUGGGACUCACUUGUGCAAAAGGUGGAAGCUUCAAGGAAGCCUCUACAAGGUUAUGACAUUCAAGAUUUCGGGCCUAAGCUUAUCAAGGAAGCCUCGAGGAGUCUUCCUCCGACAUGAUCGAGGAAGAAGAAGGG
rnacentral:lncRNA from 1 species